ensembl:lncRNA
AUGGUUUGUCUUUCACCACUAAAAGUUCUCGUUUUUAUCUUUGGAGGUGUGGAAAUGUCUCUUCUCACAAGUCUGAUGCAAGUGUCCAUCCUUGGGAUAUUUCUCAUCCAGUGCGUGACCAGCCUUCCGGUUCUGGGCAGGUGUCUCGGAGAAGAGGACAGCAUCUCAACAACAGACAUCUUUUCACCUAGAAAGAUGUUAUUUCCCAGGGAUGAUGCAGAUAUGCUUUUUGAGGACCGAGACAGGAGAUCUGGGCUUCACAUGAGGCAGUUGGGCGACAUUGAGUUCACAAACAGAUAUGCUGAACUCCUCAAAUCCAAAGCUAAAAUCACAUCCAUCUGUGGCUUCCUGAAACGCAUGCAAAGCAGCAAGAAUAGCGGCGUCGGUGGAGAAACAGACAGAUUGAUUUCAGUGAUGAGACAGUAUUCAUGUCCAAACGUGUACCAGUGAAGACUGGCUUCAUGUCCAAGAAACGUGAAGACACAACGUUUGAAUCAGUUUAAACAUGUUUGAGAAAAACUGUUUGUAUAUAUUUGAAUAAAUAACGACUUUUUCCCCUCCA